CUUACGUUUGGACUUGAGACAUUUUGAUAGGCUCAUAAUGUGGAUUUGAAUUAAAUGGAAGGAAAUCAAUUAUACUAAAAGCCUAGCGUGACUCAAGCUCAAGAUCUUCUACUCUGGUAUCUUGUUAAAUCAUGAAAAAUAAUUGUUUGUCCAUGAAAGCUUAAGGUGGCAAGUAAUAAUAUUUUUAUAUUUUUAUAUUUAAUAAUUUACAACUCGAGAAAUUGUAAAUAGUUUGGAAAAAUAUUUAAUUUUUAUUUAUGUAA
rnacentral:lncRNA from 1 species